rnacentral:rRNA from 1 species
UACGAGGGGGGCAAGCGUUGUUCGGAAUUAUUGGGCGUAAAGGGCGUGUAGGCGGUGCGGUAAGAGUGUUGUGAAAUCUUCGGGCUCAACUCGAAGUCUGCAACGCUGACUGCCGUGCUUGAGUGUGGGAGAGGUGAGUGGAAUUCCUGGUGUAGCGGUGAAAUGCGUAGAGAUCAUGAGGAAGACCAGUGGCGAAGGCGGGUCUCUGGACAGUUCCUGACACUGAGACACGAAGGCCAGGGGAGCAAACGGG